AACGAACGCUGGCGGCAGGCCUAACACAUGCAAGUCGAGCGCGCCCUUCGGGGUGAGCGGCGGACGGGUGAGUAACGCGUGGGAACGUGCCCUUUUCUACGGAAUAGCCUCGGGAAACUGAGAGUAAUACCGUAUACGCCCUUUGGGGGAAAGAUUUAUCGGAAAAGGAUCGGCCCGCGUUGGAUUAGGUAGUUGGUGGGGUAAUGGCCUACCAAGCCGACGAUCCAUAGCUGGUUUGAGAGGAUGAUCAGCCACACUGGGACUGAGACACGGCCCAGACUCCUACGGGGGGCAGCAGUGGGGAAUCUUAGACAAUGGGGGCAACCCUGAUCUAGCCAUGCCGCGUGAGUGAUGAAGGCCUUAGGGUUGUAAAGCUCUUUCAGCUGGGAAGAUAAUGACGGUACCAGCAGAAGAAGCCCCGGCUAACUCCGUG
rnacentral:rRNA from 1 species